UAGGAGGAGGGAGAAGUGGCCGGGUUAGGAAUUCAGCCUGCAGAGGGAAAAUGCUGAAGAAUGGGCAGUUUGUUGUUUAGUGAAAGACCAGUCUAAUGUGGAUCGUCAGUUAAUCUACAGCGUCUGUGGAAAGACCCAUGCUUACUGAAUCGUGGUGACACGAUUCACCAAUAAGCUGUAGCUGGCAUCAACCUACAAUUACCUGGAAAAUCGAAACAGACAAAUUAAAAACCCGCAAAAUCACUG